rnacentral:rRNA from 1 species
AUACGGAGGGUGCAAGCGUUAUUCGGAAUCACUGGGCGUAAAGGACGCGUAGGCGGGUUGGCAAGUCAGAUGUGAAAUCCUACAGCUUAACUGUAGAACUGCAUUUGAAACUGCUAACCUAGAGUAUGGGAGGGGGAGAUGGAAUUAGUGGUGUAGGGGUAAAAUCCGUAGAUAUCUCUAGGAAUACCGAAAGCGAAGGCGAUCUCCUGGAACAUAACUGACGCUCAGGCGUGAAAGCGUGGGGAGCAAACAGGAUUAGAAACCCUUGUAGUCC